rnacentral:lncRNA from 1 species
AAGGAGUUAUGCCACCAACCCAUGGUUCGCAGGCCGGCCAGUCGUUCCAACAUCAACUACUACUGUUGAACUUCUUGAAUCCCACUUCCAAUCGCUGUCUGCACACCACCUUGCCAGGUUUGCAUAUAUUAUCAUUCUCCACUAUUUAAAUAAAUGGCAUGCUGCACUGCAUCACCAUAAGAAAUUUACUGGUUAUGACUUUUUUUCCCAAGAACUGGAUAGUACACAAUGCUCCACAGUUCGUACGAGUUAGCGGGAAGGACAUCAUGGAUCAGCUAGUCGGCAAUGACAUGCUCGAUCAUGAACUAGGGUGUAACAUUUUGUGGCGGCAGAACCAGGUCGAUCUGGAGUCAAACCACGCUUUGCCAUAUCUGAAUCACCGUCACAUACUAGAGUUUGAUUUCUCGGUAAGAUAAAUUGUUUUCUUCUCAGCACCUAAUCAAAGCCAAACCAGCCAUCUAUAUAAUCAAUUUGGACCAGUUACCUAAUUCUAAAACUCCUCCCUCUUAAUUUUUUUCAGAUGCUCGCUCUAUAAGGCACAAGCAUUUCUGAUUUUCUAGAGAUUCGGAAUCAAUUCAUUGGGGCAAACGGUCCAGCCUGCAAUUGAGGCAUG